AGGAAGGAGAUUUCCAGGCAAGAAGGCCUGGCUGUAGGCUGCUGUGGACAAAGAGACUACUGGAAAGGCUAACAUGUUGACUUUUCCUAGGCAGAGGCUUGGAAUCCUGGAUAAAGCUGGAAAAGAUUUCAUCUAGAAUGGUUGGAGUGACUGUUGUGAUAAAGAACAGGUAGGGACCAAAGGAAGCCCAGGUUACUACUAGCUCUGAUUGGCCAAGGUACAGCUGCUCUGCGUAUAGCAUACAACCCCACCUCAACUCAAGUGAGAGAGAACAUAAACUCGGGAAAACAGAAGGAAACCUGAAGUAUAAUUGUAGGCUGCCAUCUAUUGGAAGGGGUUAAUGAGGAUACGAGCCUUCAGACCAUUUCUACACACAAGAGUAGAAAGAAAGCAAGUCUCUUGUUCAAGGACGUGGAUAUCACUCCAGACAAUCCAACCAGUUGCUGGCUGUGUAUUUUGGCUAUGGGGGACUCUGCUUAUCUGCAGACGUCUUUCUGUUUUGUUUCCUAAGUGGAAGAGUAGUAUUUGUUCCAGAAUGUUAGCACCUAUCGUUAUAAAAACUAAAUGUCCAAGCUGAAAUUUUUUUAUUGAAGAUUACCUUGUAAUUAUGAAAAUAAUGCAUACUAAAAUGAGAAUGCAAGGUAAAAUGGGGAAAUAAUAAAAGAUGCUACACUUGAUUAAGUCCUCAUGAAUCUAAUUAAAGUACUGUUUUUAUAUUCCUCAAGAUAACUGAAAAAUAUUUUUCAGUUAUGUUCAUAUUAUCCAACUAUUAUUUCCAACUAUUAAAGCUGAGUAGGAUUCUUAUGAAAAUAAGAGUCAAAUGAAUGAAAUAAGAUAUUGCAAAAAUAUCUGAAAUAAAAACAUCAAUGGAUAGAACACACUAGUUAAAAACAAGUGUGGUUUCAAAAGGCUGGAAGAAUAAAUUAUGGCCCUAAUUUUAGGAGAUUAGUAGAACAGUGAAUCAGAAAAAAGUAUACUGUGUGUAAUGUGGGGCACUUUGAGCGAUUUGGCUUCAGUCCUGUGGUCUGAAAAAUAUGUAUCAACUUUUAUACUUCAGACUAUAAUUUACAGUCAAGCCGUAAAGGACCUGAGGGCUACAAGAUUCCCUUUGAAUUCAGAGCAAACUACUAUGUCAUGUUCAAUAACAGAAAUGCUAUACUGAGUCUCAGCAUUGAGAAUGAAAUGGUUGAGGGACUGGAUGGCCCAAAGCAUUAGCAAUGAGGAUAAUGGACCCUUUGUUUGCUUCUAAGUUGUCCUGGGUGAAUUAAAGUUGUCAAUUUCAUAGCUGUGUGGUCAC